GGGGAUGUGGCGAAAUUGGUAGCACGCAAGGGUCUUAGAAGCCCUCGUCUGUAAUGGGCGUGUCGGUUCGAGUCCGACCAUCCCCA
rnacentral:tRNA from 1 species